AACCCUCGACCUUAGUUGCCAGCAUUCAGUUGGGCACUCUAAGGUGACUGCCGGCUAAAAGUCGGAGGAAGGUGGGAUGACGUCAAAUCAUCAUGCCCCUUAUGACCUGGGCUACACACGUGCUACAAUGGGCGGUACAAAGGGUCACGAACCCGCGAGGGGGAGCCAAUCCCAAAAAGCCGCUCUCAGUUCGGAUUGCAGGCUGCAACUCGCCUGCAUGAAGCCGGAAUCGCUAGUAAUCGCGGAUCCAGCAUGCCGGCGGUGAAUACGUUCCCGGGCCUU
rnacentral:rRNA from 1 species